rnacentral:rRNA from 1 species
UACGAAGGGGGCUAGCGUUGUUCGGAAUUACUGGGCGUAAAGCGCACGUAGGCGGAUCGAUCAGUCAGGGGUGAAAUCCCAGGGCUCAACCCUGGAACUGCCUUUGAUACUGUCGAUCUGGAGUAUGGAAGAGGUGAGUGGAAUUCCGAGUGUAGAGGUGAAAUUCGUAGAUAUUCGCAAGAACACCAGUGGCGAAGGCGGCUCACUGGCCCGGUACUGACGCUGAGGCGCGAAAGCGUGGGGAGCAAACAGG